rnacentral:rRNA from 1 species
UCCGUAACGGAAAACCGAUCAAUAAAAGUUGAAUCUUUUAUAUUUUGUUGGAAGUAAAAACCUGGCAAUGAUAUAAAAAAGACAAAAAUUAGCGAAUUGAACCAUCUAAGUAGCUAAUGAAAAAAUCAACCGAGAAUACUGUAAGUAGUGGCGAGCGAACAUGGUAAAGGCUUUUUUGUUUUUAAGUAGAUCUAAUUUGACUACUAAAAACAAAUUUAAUUGAUUACACACUAAUUUAAAUAUCCAAAGAAGGUAUUUUUAAGUAAGUCCUGUAAAAUUUAGUCGUAACAAUUAAAAAACAGUAGAAUAAAACAAGUCAUGUUUUGUUUGAAGAUUGAGGUCCCACCCUCAAAGCCUAAAUAAUUUUUGAUGAUAGAUAGUGAACUAGUACCGUGAGGGAAAUGGGUGAAAUUUAACGCUGACAAUCAGUUGAAGCUUAGAAAUUUUUAAAAGUGACAGCGAUCCUUUUGCAUAAUGCGUCAACGAGUUUAUUUUAGAGGCAAGCUUAAGCUGUGCAAAGUGUAGGCUAAAAGAAAUUAAAAAAGUCUUAAAUUGCUUUUUAAGUCACUAAAAUAAGACCCGAAACUAAGUGAUCUAACCAUGAACAGGUUGAAUUUAAAGCGGCAACGCUUAUUGGAGGACCGAACCCGUGUAUGUGGAAAGAUACUGGGAUGAUUUGUGGUUAGGGGUGAAAGGCCAAUCAAACUUAGAGAUAGCUGGUUUUCUGCGAAAUCUAUUUAAGUAGAGCGUUUAAAAACUUUGAUUUGAGGUAGAGCUCUUAAUAAAUAAGGGGGGUGUAAAACUUUACCGAAUUUAAUAAAACUUCGAAUACAAAACAAAAGAAUUUAAGCAGACAGACUGUGAGUGCUAAGAUUCACAGUCAAGAGGGAAACAGCCCAGACUAUUUGUUAAGGCCCUUAAAAGUAAUUAAGUGAAAAAGAAAGUGAAAAAAUUUUAACAACCGGAAGGUAGGCUUGGAAGCAGCCAUCCUUUAAAGAAAGCGUAACAGCUCACUGGUUUAGUUUUUUUGCGUCAAAAAUGUAGAGGGACUAAAAUUACUUGCCGAAGCAAUAGAUUUAAAUUGUUAAAAUUUAAAUGGUAGCAGAACGUUCUGUAAAUCAACGGAGGUUUAUGGUGACAUAAACUGGAGAAAUCAGAAGUGUAAAUGUUGACAUGAGUAGCGAAAAACAGUGUAUAAGCAUUGUUGCCUUAAGUUCAAGGUUUCCAAAGCAAGUCUACCCCUCUUUGGUUGAAUCGGUCCCUAAGGUCUUAACGAAAGUUAAAGAUCGAUGGAGAAUAAUAUUAUUACAAUCUAAAGUGACAAAAUACAAAGAUUGUUUUUAUCUAAUGGUUUCGAUAAAAGUUUUUUAGUAUUUUCAAGAAAUAGCUUUAGUAAAAUCAACCGUACUGUAAACCGACACAGGUGAACAAAUUUAGUAAAUUAAGGCACGUGAGCGAAUUGUAUUGAAGGAACUCGGCAAAAUGACUCCGUAACUUCGGAAUAAGGAGUAGCUUUUUUAGGGCAACCUUUAAAAGCUGGCACAAAAUCGAGGACAGCAACUGUUUAAUAAAAACACAGGUCUCUGCAAAUUUGUAAAAAGACGUAUAGAGACUGACGCCUGCCCGGUGCUGCAAGAUUAAUGAGAAAAGUUUUGGCUUUGAUCUUAAACCCCAGUAAACGGCGGCUGUAACUCUGACGGUCCAAAGGUAGCGAAAUUCCUUGGCAUUUAAUUGGUGUCCUGCAUGAAUGGCGUAAUGACUGUCCUACUGUCUCCAAUACAACCUCAGUGAAAUUGAAAUCUCCGUGAAGAUGCGGAGUACCUGCGGCUAGACGGAAAGACCCCGUGCACCUUUACUAUAGUUAUGUAUUGUAACAAAAACUAUCAUGUGUAGAAUAUGUGGGAAGUUUUUUGAAAUCUUUACGCAAGUAAAUCAUUUAAAUAACAGUGAAAUACCACUCUUGAUACUUUUUGUUACUUAUUAAUUAAGACAAUGCAUAAUGGGUAGUUUGACUGGGGCGGUCGCCUCCUAAAGAGUAACGGAGGCGUGCAAAGGUAAGUUCAAAUUGGAGUUAUAAAAUCAAUUGUAGAGCGUAAUAGUAUAUUGCUUGCCUGAUUGUAAGAUUGACAAAUCAAACAGGGACGAAAGUCGGUUAUAGUGAUCCGGUGAUUCUGUGUGGAAAAGGUCAUCGCUCAACGGAUAAAAGGUACGCCGGGGAUAACAGGCUAAUUAUCCUCUAGAGACCCUAUCGACGGGAUAGUUUGGCACCUCGAUGUUGGAUUAUCGCAUCCUGGAACUGUAAGCGGUUCCAAGGGUUUGGCUGUUCGCCAAGAAAGGCGGUACAUGAUCUGAGUUUAGAACGUCGUGAGACAGUUUGGCCCCUAUCUACCGCAGGCGUAAAAAAAUUGAAAGGAUUAAACCUUAGUACGAGAGGACCAGGAAAAGUGAAUCUCUGGUGUAUCGGUUGUUAUACCAAUAGCAUAGCCGAGUAGCUAUAAUUCAUAAUAGAUAAUCGCUGAAAGCAUCUAAGCGAGAAACUAACCUUGAGAUUAAUUUUUUAAAAGAACGUAGUAGAUUAUUACGCAAUAGGCUUAGUGUGUAAGAAUUGCAAAAUUUUUAGCUAAUAAGUACUAAAA